AUUCCUCUCUCUCCCUCUCUCCCUCUCUCUCUCUCAUGCACGCACACACCUCCACCACUCUCCCUCUUUUUCUCUUCCCUGGAUGAGUGAUGGGAUUAUGAACUAAGCCUGAGGCUAUGGUGGUUUCAAAUUCAUCAAUAAAUUCCUCAAGGUAAACACAUUCCUCUUGGUUCAGAAACCGGCCUUGUAGUUGCUUGAUUUAGGAAUUCAAAAGAAAGACAUCUCCAUGUGCGUCAUUGAUGAAUAGAACAAUUGACACAUCUCCCAUCACUAUGUUCCACAUUAGCACAGUCUCCUCUCAUAACUUUGUUCCAGUUCAGGAAUGGACCAAUUGAUCACAUUAGCACAAUAGUUCAGUAUGCUGAGGGAGUGUUUUUAUGAUCUUGCAUUCCCUUAAAUAUAGCAUUCAAAGCCUAACCCUUCUCUGGGUGUUUGGAACUCUUUUAUGAGACAUUUUGUUGAUGAGCCCUAAAGGAUGUAAUGAAGACGUUAGAAGACAAAAUAGUGUUGCUGCAAAACAUUUGAAACACUUGACCAAGCUGACAAUACAGACUAUGAUCUCUAUGUUCUCUUUACUGACAUCCAGAGUACCAUCUUUGCAAAUUUUGUAGUGUGAAUCAUGGAUUAUUGGUUUGCUAGCUGUAUUCAUUAAGUGAAAGAUUGAUUCAGAUGCAUAAGUCUUUUAAACUGAUAUUCGAAGUAUAAUAGGUAAUGAACCCUUUAGUUUUUUGGUUUCUUUUAUUGAUAUUAAAGUUUGCGUUUCUGACUACUGAAAUAACGAUUCUCUAGCUGCAGGUUCAGAUUAUUGCCCCAGUGGUUUUGACAACCCUGAGGUUCUAAGCCCCUAGUCCAUAGAAACAUAAUUAAAGGAAAAAUAUGGAUAUUUACCAUUAAUUUAAAUUUAAGUUUUACUGGCUUUGGAGCUAAAAACAUCUAAAGCCACUUCCAGCUUAUUGAAGUUGGAUAAAAAUUUUAUUCGUCUUCCCCCCUUUUUCUGCCACACUGAAACCUCCCCCCAAUUUUCUCUUAUUUAACCCUAUUUGGCAUCUAAAGCUUUGGCUAGGGUUUCUCCGGAUUGGGAGGUCCAAACAUGUUUAUUAUUAUAUUUUUCGGUUUGCUUAAUCCAUUUGCAUAUUUUACCUGUGUUCUUUUUGCUUGUACCUCAUACUAUUAGUUUUCAGGAUAUGCUUCUUGAAAAGACAUUAGUGUCAAAAGUUGGGGGGGAAAUCCCAUCUAUUUUGUGAAUUACAUGUGUGAGGGCAUAGGUUGUUUCCGUGAUUUUGAAAGGAGGUGACUGUAGAUUAUACAUAUGACUGAUCAGAACUGGAGUUCUAAUAGAAACAUUGCCCUGUUUGGGACUGGCAGAGGUUUGGGGACAUGAGCUCUUGAGAAUUUUCCUUAUGGAGUUUGGACUGUGUUGUGGUUCUUCAUCAGAUGGAAUUUUUGUUGUUUAUGUUCAAAUUGAAUCCUGAUUUGCAGUCUUUUGGGAUCUGGAUUCUAUGAUAGAGCUUGUAACAUGAGGGUUACAGAAGGAUGAAAUCUUGUUAGAGGACCUAAUGUUAGUUGAAUGUGAGUUUUCCAAUCUGUAGGUUUGUUGUCCAUCUGUCUCUAAAUGGUGGAUUUUGUUUCUGAUUAAGUUGGAAAUGAAUGUUAUGUUUACCAUAUGGUAGGCAUGUUUGUAUCAUCUAUUAGUAGUACUUCUGCAUCCUUCAACUCAGGGCAAUUCCUGGAAGUUUAAGGUAGGUGAGAAUUAGAAGAAUUGGAUGUGUCAUUGGGACUAGUUGUUAGAUCUGAAGCUAGGUCAAUAGGAGGGGAAAAAAACUGGUUGAGGAUGAACACUCCCUUGAGAAUGCAAAAAAAAUUUGUUCACUUCCAUGUGUUGUUUAAGUUAUUUUCACAACUGUCAUUGACUUGAACAAUAUGACAGCUAUUUCAUAUUUUGAAUGGAUUAAAUCAAAGUAAUGAAUCUAUUUCAUCACACCUCUUUGCUUGUGAAGGCAUAAUUCCAUGUUAACCCAACAACAGACCCACUUUGCUAGUUGGAAGAAGGAACUCUGAAAGUUAAUAUAUUAAUAUUAUUUAUAAAUGUUGUAUUGCAGAGGAUUCCAUAGUGUGACAUGAUAGUGCCCAUAUUUUGAUGUUGGAUUGCAAUGUUGAUUAUCAUAUUUAUUCCAAAAAUAUACUUAAAUUGCUUCCAUUAUACCAGUAAAAAUUCCUCGUUUUUUAUGUGGUUUUUUCCCUUUUCGGGUAGUAGCAUGCCAAGGGAUAUUUAGUAAAUUGGGGAUGAAUUCUGUAGAAACCGGAUACCUCUCUUAUUCGGUUCUUUGGCAUUCGUAUUAUCCCUAUUGUACUCAAUUUUGUGUGUUUGGAGGGAUCUGUUCUGUUUUUGUGUAUAUUAAUUUUUCUUUGCUCAUU